rnacentral:rRNA from 1 species
AUGGACGAAAGUCUGACCGAGCAACGCCGCGUGAGUGAAGAAGGUUUUCGGAUCGUAAAGCUCUGUUGUAAGUCAAGAACGUGUGUGAGAGUGGAAAGUUCACACAGUGACGGUAGCUUACCAGAAAGGGACGGCUAACUACGUGCCAGCAGCCGCGGUAAUACGUAGGUCCCGAGCGUUGUCCGGAUUUAUUGGGCGUAAAGGGAGCGCAGGCGGUCAGGAAAGUCUGGAGUAAAAGGCUAUGGCUCAACCAUAGUGUGCUCUGGAAACUGUCUGACUUGAGUGCAGAAGGGGAGAGUGGAAUUCCAUGUGUAGCGGUGAAAUGCGUAGAUAUAUGGAGGAACACCAGUGGCGAAAGCGGCUCUCUGGUCUGUCACUGACGCUGAGGCUCGAAAGCGUGGGUAGCGAACAGGAUUAGAUACCCUGGUAGUCCACGCCGUAAACGAUGAGUGCUAGGUGUUAGGCCCUUUCCGGGGCUUAGUGCCGGAGCUAACGCAAUAAGCACUCCGCCUGGGGAGUACGACCGCAAGGUUGAAACUCAAAGGAAUUGACGGGGGCCCGCACAAGCGGUGGAGCAUGUGGUUUAAUUCGAAGCAACGCGAAGAACCUUACCAGGUCUUGACAUCCCGAUGCUAUUCUUAGAGAUAGGAAGUUACUUCGGUACAUCGGAGACAGGUGGUGCAUGG